rnacentral:rRNA from 1 species
UACGAUGAAGAGUUUGAUCCUGGCUCAGGAUGAACGCUAGCGGCAGGCCUAACACAUGCAAGUCGAGGGGUAUAGAGAGCUUGCUUUGCUAGAGACCGGCGGAUGGGUGAGUAACGCGUAUGCAACCUACCUUUUACAGGGGAAUAGCCCGGAGAAAUUCGGAUUAAUGCUCCAUGGUUUAUAUGAAUGGCAUCGUUUNUAUAAUAAAGAUUUAUCGGUAAAAGAUGGGCAUGCGUAUCAUUAGCUAGUUGGUGUGGUAACGGCAUACCAAGGCUACGAUGAUUAGGGGUCCUGAGAGGGAGAUCCCCCACACUGGUACUGAGACACGGACCAGACUCCUACGGGAGGCAGCAGUGAGGAAUAUUGGUCAAUGGAGGCAACUCUGAACCAGCCAUGCCGCGUGCAGGAUGACGGUCCUAUGGAUUGUAAACUGCUUUUGUUCGGGAAGAAAUGUAAUUACGUGUAAUUAUUUGACGGUACCGUAAGAAUAAGGAUCGGCUAACUCCGUGCCAGCAGCCGCGGUAAUACGGAGGAUCCGAGCGUUAUCCGGAAUUAUUGGGUUUAAAGGGUUCGUAGGCGGUUGAGUAAGUCAGUGGUGAAAUCUUAUAGCUUAACUAUAAAAUUGCCGUUGAUACUGCUUGACUUGAAUAGUAUGGAAGUAAUUAGAAUAUGUAAUACUUUUAGCGGUGAAAUGCUUAGAUAUUACAUGGAAUACCAAUUGCGAAGGCAGAUUACUACGUACUUAUUGACGCUGAUGAACGAAAGCGUGGGUAGCGAACAGGAUUAGAUACCCUGGUAGUCCACGCCGUAAACGAUGGACCUACUAGCUGUUCGGUUUUCGGACUGAGUGGCUGAGCGAAAGUGAUAAGUAUCGGAUCCUCCUGGGGAGUACGUUCGCAGGUGCGACGGAAUUCGAUCCUGAUUCUUCGGGGGCCCGCACAAGCGGUGGAGCAUAGAGGCCUCUUCCUGUACCUCACCAGAAACUUUACGAAAUCCUGUCUUCAUACUGGCAGGUUUAGAGAUAGACUUUUCUUCGGACAAUAUUCCUAACUGCUGCACCGCGGUCACUAGCGUGGGACGUGAGGUCCGUGCCAGAGUGCCAGAGCGGCCGCAACCCCUAUUGUUAGUUGCCAGCGGGUCAAGCCGGGAACUCUCCACCUAACCAACGAUACACUUCCUGAGGAACAUGGGAAUGAUGCUAUAUCGUUAUGACCAAUACGAUCCUGCAUCGGUACCUCAUGAUUAUUCGGUAUUGAAUCCAAUUACCAUGCACAUCUAUCGGGGGAAUACCCUUUACUUUACUCAGUUCGGAUUGGAGUCUGCAACUCGACUCCAUGAAGCUGGAAUCGCUAGUAAUCGGAUAUCAGCCAUGAUCCGGUGAAUACGUUCCCGGGCCUUGUACACACCGCCCGUCAAGCCAUGGAAGCCGGGGGUACCUGAAGUCGGUCGCCGCAAGGAGCUGCCUAGGGUAAAACUGGUAACUAGGGCUAAG